GCGAGCGAGAUAGCGUGAACCCGAGAAGCAAACUCGGUGAAAAGUAUAGCCUGUGGUCAAAAGUGUACGUUUUUGAAGCAAGUGCAAAGUGCAACGCGAAGACCUGUUUUCAUUUAAGAAACAGACCAGUUUUUUGUUUUCCGUCGCUGUGGGAAACUAUCAUUGGCUUAAUGAGCAGAUACAAGAACACUCGAGCCCUGAAAGGUCAAAACCUUAGGAGGAGAAGUGCCUGGAUUAUUAUAAGAGGAACUCUGGCUUCACAAGGCAGAAGAAAUAAAUAGCCUUCUGCUGCUAUAUAAGUAAAUGAAGCUAUUUGAGGGGCAUUUGAAUACAUUUUGUGAGAUAAGAACAACAAUUAUCGACGCAAAACCGACGUUUAGCAAGAAUUAGAGUUCACCGAGUGGCAAAAAUGGAGUAGAGUAACGUCUGCAUUAGUAACGAGAAAGGCUAUUUGGUUUCCCUCCAGAUUGAGAAAUACGAGAAUAAUCCGUAUGGAGGCGGAAUGUUAUAUCAUUAUUACUUCCAAUGACUCUCACACCUUUAACAGGUAAUACGGUGCCAGACCACACAGCCUUAAAGUAAAUAAUUAUCGAGAUAUAAAUCUGGUUUUAUUAGGUCACUGACACCAGGCAACUCUAUCAUUACGUCAUCAGCAAGGGGUGGAGAUUCUUAAGCUUCCCCAUUCAUAACUGCGGUCGAUGACGUCAUCGUACGUAGAUAAAAAAAGCAUUCCCGACGUGGGAAGUGCUGUUA